CGUUGGAAAACUGGCAUUUCUUUUGGAGACAUGAAAAGCAUGAUUUGUGUUAACUUUGCUAAUAAUCUUGCAGCAUAUGCGGUAUUUUGGGAUGGACAGGAAAUGUUUUCCAGAGUGACCUGGUUAGGUGUGGUGAUGUCAGUAGAAAUGCAUAAAGUGCGGCCUGCACAUUUUAAGAUGCUUAGUGAAGUUAUUACGAAGAUAUUUGUGGGCCAAGAUUGCUCCCUGAGAACUUUAAGUUCAUUCAUCACAUUUGCCUCCUCCAUAUAGUAUUUUUAUAAGUUUGCAAAGGAGUAUGGAGAUACUAGUGCCCUUGUAUCUGGCUGCAUUCUUCGAACAUUUGUGUGUGAGUUGAGCUUAUUGCAAAGUUUUCUAAAGAUGGAGAUUGAAAAUAAGUUUGUCUUUUUGUAAUGUACUUAUCCAAAAACUGUCCUUGUUUGUUAUCCAAUUUUAAUUUUUCAUUUAAACGUGUGAUAAGCUAGCUUGGAAUUUUGUUUUAUAUUAAUUUAGGACC
rnacentral:lncRNA from 1 species